GAAGCAGCCAUCAUUUAAAGAAAGCGUAAUAGCUCACUAGUCGAGUCGGCCUGCGCGGAAGAUGUAACGGGGCUCAAAUAUAGCACCGAAGCUGCGGCAUCAGAAUUUAUUCUGUUGGGUAGGGGAGCGUUGUGUAAGCGGAUGAAGGUGGCUCGAGAGGGUUGCUGGACGUAUCACAAGUGCGAAUGCUGACAUAAGUAACGAUAAAACGAGUGAAAAACUCGUUCGCCGGAAGACCAAGGGUUCCUGUCCAACGUUAAUCGGGGCAGGGUGAGUCGGCCCCUAAGGCGAGGCUGAAAAGCGUAGUCGAUGGGAAACGGGUUAAUAUUCCCGUACUUGGAUAAACUGCGAUGUGGGGACGGAGAAGGUUAGGUUAGCAGACUGUUGGAUGUCUGUUUAAGGUGGUAGGUGGAAGACUUAGGCAAAUCCGGGUCUUUAUAAACACUGAGAGCUGAUGACGAGGUCUUAAGGGACUGAAGUAACUGAUACCCUGCUUCCAGGAAAAGCCACUAAGCUUCAGGUUUAUCUAAACCGUACUGAAAACCGACACAGGUGGUCAGGUAGAGAAUACUCAGGCGCUUGAGAGAACUCGGGUGAAGGAACUAGGCAAAAUAGCACCGUAACUUCGGGAGAAGGUGCGCUUACAGUAAUUGUAGUCCCUUGCGGAUGAAGGUGAAGUAAGUCGAAGAUACCAGCUGGCUGCAACUGUUUAUUAAAAACACAGCACUCUGCAAACACGAAAGUGGACGUAUAGGGUGUGAUGCCUGCCCGGUGCUGGAAGGUUAAUUGAUGGUGUUAUCGAAAGAGAAGCUCCUGAUCGAAGCCCCAGUAAACGGCGGCCGUAACUAUAACGGUCCUAAGGUAGCGAAAUUCCUUGUCGGGUAAGUUCCGACCUGCACGAAUGGCAUAAUGAUGGCCAGGCUGUCUCCACCCGAGACUCAGUGAAAUUGAAAUCGCCGUGAAGAUGCGGUGUACCCGCGGCUAGACGGAAAGACCCCGUGAACCUUUACUAUAGCUUGACACUGAACAUUGAAUUUUGAUGUGUAGGAUAGGUGGGAGCCUUUGAAGCAGUGACGCCAGUCAUUGUGGAGGCGACCUUGAAAUACCACCCUUUAACGUUUGAUGUUCUAACGAAGUGCCUGAAACGGGUACUCGGACAGUGUCUGGUGGGUAGUUUGACUGGGGCGGUCUCCUCCCAAAGCGUAACGGAGGAGCACGAAGGUUUGCUAAUGACGGUCGGACAUCGUCAGGUUAGUGCAAUGGUAUAAGCAAGCUUAACUGCGAGACAGACAAGUCGAGCAGGUGCGAAAGCAGGUCAUAGUGAUCCGGUGGUUCUGAAUGGAAGGGCCAUCGCUCAACGGAUAAAAGGUACUCCGGGGAUAACAGGCUGAUACCGCCCAAGAGUUCAUAUCGACGGCGGUGUUUGGCACCUCGAUGUCGGCUCAUCACAUCCUGGGGCUGAAGUAGGUCCCAAGGGUAUGGCUGUUCGCCAUUUAAAGUGGUACGCGAGCUGGGUUUAGAACGUCGUGAGACAGUUCGGUCCCUAUCUGCCGUGGGCGUUGGAUGAUUGAUUGGGGCUGCUCCUAGUACGAGAGGACCGGAGUGGACGCAUCACUGGUGUUCCAGUUGUCUCGCCAGAGGCAUUGCUGGGUAGCUAAAUGCGGAAGAGAUAAGUGCUGAAAGCAUCUAAGCACGAAACUUGCCAAGAGAUGAGUCAUCCCUGACUUUAAGUCAGUAAGGGUUGUUGUAGACUACGACGUAGAUAGGUUGGGUGUGUAAGUGUAGUGAUACAUUGAGCUAACCAAUACUAAUUGCCCGAGAGGCUUAACUAU
rnacentral:rRNA from 1 species